rnacentral:rRNA from 1 species
CAUAUCAAUAAGCGGAGGAAAAGAAACCAACAGGGAUUGCCCCAGUAGCGGCGAGUGAAGCGGCAAGAGCUCAGAUUUGAAAUCGUGUUUCGGCACGAGUUGUAGAGUGUAGGCGGGAGUCUCUGUGGAGCGCGGUGUCCAAGUCCCUUGGAACAGGGUGCCUGAGAGGGUGAGAGCCCCGUAGGGUGCUGCGCGAAGCUUUUGAGGCCCUGCUGACGAGUCGAGUUGUUUGGGAAUGCAGCUCCAAGCGGGUGGUAAAUUCCAUCUAAGGCUAAAUAUUGGCGAGAGACCGAUAGCGAACAAGUACUGUGAAGGAAAGAUGAAAAGCACUUUGAAAAGAGAGUGAAACAGCACGUGAAAUUGUUGAAAGGGAAGGGUAUUGGGCUCGACAUGGGGGGUGCGCACCGCUGUCUCUUGUAGGCGGCGCUCUGGGCGCCCUCUGGGCCAGCAUCGGUUCCUGCUGCGGGAGAAGGGGCUCCGGAAAGUGGCUCUUCGGAGUGUUAUAGCCGGGGCCAGAUGCCGCGUGUGGGGACCGAGGACUGCGGCUUCUGUCUCGGAUGCUGCUAAGC